GUGAGAAAAAAACAUGUCACAAAAAAGUGUCUUUGUGCAUUUGUCUAGCGUUGAAACGAAAGCUUUUCCAUUUUCGGAAAAUAGUUGAAGACAUUUAUUUGCAUGUAUUUGAAGAAGAACAAGAAUUAGAGGACGGUCAAGUGUGAAAAUGUCCUUAAAGCUGUGGCAAUCGCUAGCCCAAAUUACGGACACGUAAAACACGACGAUGGACAACUGUCACAGACUGAAGGUCGGUAAGACCCUCCGAUCUCUAUCACAGACUGUGUUCAGGUGAACUUUCAACUAAAAAGGUGUUCGACUGGUUAUAUUACUAGCAGAAUUGAUCAUAGGCGACUGCGUCAAACGACCGAACAUGCCCGCUAUACACUCAAUGGAUGCUGACUGAUGUGGACACUUUCAGAGUUGAGGAGUUUGUCCCCACGUGUUUAAUGACAACAUGAUUGUGCUGAUGUUAACAUUGCCAGAUCGUAACCUCGUUUUAAUGGGACACUUGAUGAGACAGCAUAGCAACGCCAACUAAGUAAGGAUACAGUGCUGUUGAAAAAGUUCCAUAUGUACCAUCUCACCACAAGGAUAAAAAACGUGCCAACUGGACAAACCUACUCCAAGCGCUUGACAGCAUUCUAUAAUGUGCGCGUGUUCAUUGCUCAUGGAAAAAGAGUAGAUGUGGUCAAAGCAAACUUUGUUCGGACAAAAGUCCACCGUGCAUAUACUUAAAAUGCAAGUGCACAAACUGUGAAAGUGUAAAAACUAAAGCUCUGAUUAAAAACAGUGAGAAGUCUGAUAAAGAAUACCUAUUUAUGGCAAAUAAUAAUUCAAAUUGAGAUAAUUAUGUAUCUUCAUGUAAACAGAUGAGUGAAGCUAUAGUAAAAACCUAAAACCACAAAUAAAUAAUGUUGGUCUCUAUUAACUACUUACUUUUAAAGUUUACUGAU